CAGCAGCCGCGGGAACACGUAGGGUGCGAGCGUUAAUCGGAAUUACUGGGCGUAAAGCGUGCGCAGGCGGUUCGUUAAGACAGAUGUGAAAUCCCCGGGCUUAACCUGGGAACUGCAUUUGUGACUGACGGGCUAGAGUAUGGCAGAGGGGGGUAGAAUUCCACGUGUAGCAGUGAAAUGCGUAGAGAUGUGGAGGAAUACCGAUGGCGAAGGCAGCCCCCUGGGCCAAUACUGACGCUCAUGCACGAAAGCGUGGGGAGCAAACAGGAUUAGAUACCCCAGUAGUCCCUGUCUCUUAUAC
rnacentral:rRNA from 1 species